GUACAUCAAAAUGCCGCGUUCGGCUUGAAGUUGCUGUGACGACUUGCUAAGCCACUGUGCUAGUCUUUCCUGUGUCUGGCUCUAGCUCGUUUUUGAAGCUUGGAGGAUCGGAGAAGAAAUGCAGUGGUACAUAGUUGCUUCUCUCCUCACCAUUUUCACUAGUUCUCAGGUAAAACAAAACAAGUUUAAUCGGAUACCAAACCUUACUUCUUCCCUUAUUUCACCAAUUCCGACUGUUGUCCCUAUCGAAACCCUAACCCUAAAGCACUCCAAUUUCUACUAUAUAUUUUUUUUUAUUCAAGAAAUAAUCGAAUGAUCUGUCAGAAUUUCCUCUAUAAUGUGUUUGCAGCUUCCAAUUUUAGGAGCUAAUAUUAUUUAAUUUAUUUAUUUAUACCUUUUCAGGGUAUCAUAACUACACUAUCUCAAAGUAAUGGGAAAUAUGAGUAUGAUUACACCACUGUUCCUUUUCUUGCUGAAGUGUUUAAGGUACUUCACAUUGCUAUUUCAAAUUUGGGUAGCCUUAAGUGGCCGAAUUGUCUUGACCAGUUGAUGAUCUUAGUAAGUAUUAAUCUGCAGCUUCUAGUUUCUAGUUGUCUUUUAUGGAGAGAGUGCCAGAAAUCACCUCUUCCCAAGAUGACUACGGAUUGGAAGAGCAUUCGGUUGUUUCCUAUUCCUUCCAUCAUUUACUUGAUCCACAACAAUGUUCAAUUUGCAACUUUGAUUUAUGUAGAUACAUCCACCUACCAGAUAAUGGGCAAUCUUAAGAUUGUUA
rnacentral:misc_RNA from 1 species